CCUUGUUGUUACGAUCUGCUGAGGGUUAGCCGUUCUUCGCCUCGAUUUC
rnacentral:rRNA from 1 species